UACGCAGGGGGCUAGCGUUGUCCGGAUUUACUGGGUGUAAAGGGUGCUCAGGCGGUCUUGUAAGUCAGAGGUGAAAUCUCAAGGCUUAACCUUGAAACUGCCUUUGAUACUGCUGGGCUUGAGUACGGAAGAGGCGGAUGGAAUUCCUGGUGUAGCAGUGAAAUGCGUAGAUAUCAGGAGGAACACCGGUGGCGAAGGCGGUCCGCUGGUCCGUUACUGACGCUAAAGCACGAAAGCGUGGGGAGCAAACAGG
rnacentral:rRNA from 1 species